CCUACGGGUGGCAGCAGUGGGGAAUAUUGGGCAAUGGGCGCAAGCCUGACCCAGCAACGCCGCGUGAAGGUAGAAGGCUUUCGGGUUGUAAACUUCUUUUCUGAGGGACGAAGAAAGUGACGGUACCUCAGGAAUAAGCCACGGCUAACUACGUGCCAGCAGCCGCGGUAAUACGUAGGUGGCAAGCGUUAUCCGGAUUUAUGGGGUGUAAAGGGCGUGUAGGGGGGAAAGCAAGUCAGAUGUGAAAACUCAGGGCUCAACCCUGAGCCUGCAAUUGAAACUGUUUUUCUUGAGUGCUGGAGAGGCAAUCGGAAGUCCGUGUGUAGCGGUGAGAUGCGGAGAUAUACGGAGGAACACCAGUGGCGAAGGCGGAUUGCUGGACAGGAACGGACGCUGAGGCGCGAAAGCGUGGGGAGCAAACAGGAUUAGAUACCCGAGUAGUC
rnacentral:rRNA from 1 species